GCCAGGCAGCGCGGCGAGGAGGCUGCCUUGCGGCUCCGGCCCGUGCCCGGGGUCCAGCUCACCCAGGAGAGCAGCCCCUCCCGUGGGCAACAAGUGUAGGGGUGGGCCAGGAGAAGGGAGGUGCUGGGGCGGGGGAGGACACCAGGCCGGCCUGGAAAAUCAGGUGAGAGAGAACCGGGCGGGUCAAGCGUGAGACUUGCAAAGAAAAGCGGGAGCAGAAAGGAAAUACCGGCGAAGGAGUGGAGGAACCAGAGCGGCAGGCUUGGGUAGACCUUGCAGCUCCACAGCAUGGAUGAGACCAAGGGCACCUUGGCCCUUCACCUGGCCAAGGGCAGGGUGAAGUCAGAAGAGGGGUUUGCAUGCACUGCUCGGGAGAUCACAUCCUCCAGCCCCAAAAUGAGUCUGGCUGGAAUAUGCAAGCAUGGCUGGCCCUGGGAGACUUGGCCAGGUGACCCCAGAAGCUUCCAGCCGAGACUUGGCCUGGCAGCCCAGAAUCUAUAAAAGGCACAGCCAGGAGCUGCCAGAGGGAUUUAUCUUGCUGCGGACACUGAGCUGAAGCUGCAGGAUGCCGCCUGCUCCAAGAAUCUGCACUCUCCAAGGACCUUUUGGGUGGCCAGUCAGUCCCCAGGACUUAGUGAUUGUGUGUUUGCGUGUGUCUCCGAGUGUUUUUCCUCCUAAACCCUGCACAUUUCUCCCCUCUACUUUCACCAGCUAUUCUUGUGAAAAAUAAAUUGAACAUAGCUUUUACUUGACUAGUUGCUCCUUUGAGUAACAAUUAAAAUAAAACAAUGUUUACUCAGAUAAAUGAACCUUCAGAAGGGUAAAAUCAGUCCAGUUCUUGCAGUUCUAUAUGGGUGAUUCCUAGGGAUCUUUUCUAAGUGUUUUGACAAAAGUGGCACUUAGAUACAAGAAGUAUUUGCAUGUGAAACAGAGAUGUGAGGUAUGUGAUAUCAGUAGCUCUGAUACUUGCCAAAUAUGAAUAGGGCAAAAUUUUAAGUAGACUUUGCUCAUUAUAUAUAAUACCUAGAUCCUGCAUGGAUCACCACCCUGGCUAACACCCAUAGGUCUUCAAAGCCUCAAGUAUGUGCUCUCUAGCUUAGAUGCACAGCAGACUGCUGUCCUUUGCACAUCUGGGCUGUAAGAACCUCACACUAAUGAGUCACACAGAUCAUUUCAUUUCUAACAGGUGAGCAAAGUCAAUUUGCCUACGGCAUUUGCAGUUGAGCUAAAUAUGUUUGCAAGUAUUUUCAGGCUUCCAGAGUCUGGUCUGCCCAGCUAAGCUUGUCAUUGUAGAAAGACAGUGGUAUAUAAAUUUGCAUAUAUCCAAAGGACAACCUUAUACCUUCAUUUGGGACCUUUUGAGUGUCAUAUGUUAAAUGCUACCUAGGGAACCUCCAUUUGUUGUGUCUGCUGUGGAGUGGACAACUUGGGUGAACUUGACCUCCAAGUCAUUCAGUUUUUGUUAGUUUACCAGUGAGUACAGAAGCCCUGACAGCAAGCAGUCCAUCACAAAGAUCUCUGACCAGCAGUCAGAAGAAGCAAUCAAAGAUGGGUAUGCUUUGAGGACCUGGAAUGGUUAAAGCAGAGAGGUUAAAGCAGCAACAUGAACCUGACUUUCUUGCAGACAGUUUCCACCACUUGGGCAUUGGCAGCUUGAACCUGCUCUUCCCAGGAAGGGUUAAUCAAAUCUAAAUUCUGGGAAAUAAUAAAAAAGCCAAACCAACCCAAACUUCCAAAUCUACUGCAUUAUUAGCUAGAUUACUGCACUAAGCCAUAAAUCCAAGACCUUUCAAUCUAAAAAUUCCUCAUUUCUUUUCACAUUUUUGACUUGCCAUGGAUUUUUCUCAACCUUUGGUAAGUGGGUGGGUCACCAGGGAUUACAUAGAUCACAGUGCUCCUGAAGAAUGUGCACAUGAUUACAUGGAAGCUUAGAGAAGCACAAAGGUAAUUGAUUCUCAACCCCAGUCAACCUGAGACUGAGAAACUAUGCUUUCUGCUGCCACCCAAGAACCUAAGAGAACUGAGGGACCAGUGUGGAAGCAAGAUGCCAUCCAUACCUGUUUUAAUUGCCUAGGCUAUUGGUCUGGAGGCUGAUACAGCUGCUCAUUUUAUCACAGAGAAAGUUUCAAUAGAUGUAAGCUGUUGGAAGAUACUGCCAGCUAUCUUCUUUUUUUUCUUUUUUUUUUUUUUUUAUAAGAGUAGUACUGGAAGUGGGAUACUCCCUACUAAUGAGCAAUGACUUUCCUUCCUCUAAGAUGUCAUCAAGCCAGGUAGGUUUCACCUGAUGGUGGGAAGGACAUUUCUUAAACCACAACAUUCUGGUAAUGUUUCUUCCACAGACUUCUUUGAUGCACACAUAUAAAUUUAGUAUCUGAGUAGCAGAACAGGCAAUAUGUUGAAGUGAUCAGUCUGCCCCAAGAUCUCGUAAGUGGUAUGAGAACAAAUCUACUGCCCUUCUUACUUUUUGCAGUUCAUAGUAUUUGAUGGGUUUCACACUCCCCCUGUGGUGUUAAUUAGUGAGUCACUCCAAACCUUGCUGAAGCUAACGCUCCCAGUGCUGGCUGGGAGAGCCAAGGGAGGUUGGCAGGAGUGGCAGGUUGAGGCCAAGAUUUUAAUGCCACUCUUGGUGUAAGCCUUGCCUUCUGAAAGUUUCCAAGAGUGCUUAUAUGUCCUCAGACACUGAAGGCAAUUGGGUAGGACAGGAAACCUGCAGGACACCAGGCCUGCUAACCCCACAGUCCACAGAAAUCCUUGCCAGUACUGACAGGAGCAAUGGGAUGUUCCAGCUGCCCAGGUUCAACUUCUCGAUCUCGCACCCAGGUGCCAGGGUUCACCUCUGAGCUCUCUGUGGGACUAUGGCUACAGCUCCAUGUUAUGCUGGGGCUCAUCUCACUAUGCCAGUUUUACAGUGGUAAGAAGUGACGGGAUAGCAAAGAAGCACAGAGAGAAUAUUCACCUGGCAAGAUGGUGAAAAAAAACCCCUGAGUAAAGGGAAAUGUGUUGGAAAGUUUUGUGUUUAUUGCUUAGCAUCCUCUUAUUGUAUUUGUUAUUUGUGCUGGAAUUUUAUUUCUGAUACUGUGUCUGGAACACCUGGAGCUCUUCACAGGUGAAGGAGAAAGGAAUAUUCUAGGGAAACAUGGUAAGAGUUAUAAGCUUCUUUCUGUUGAUGGUAUUAUUAAUGAUCUCCUGUAUAAAUUUCAACAAAUAAAUGAUUGGUGAGGGUA